CCUACGGGUGGCAGCAGUGAGGAAUAUUGGUCAAUGGCCGGAAGGCUGAACCAGCCAAGCCGCGUGAGGGAGGAAGGCGCAGAGCGUCGCAGACCUCUUUUGCCGGGGACAAAAGGCCGGACUCGUCCGCUCCUGAGGUUACCCGGAGAAAAAGCAUCGGCUAACUCCGUGCCAGCAGCCGCGGUUAUACGGAGGAUGCGAGCGUUAUCCGGAUUCAUUGGGUUUUAAGGGUGCGCAGGGGGGCCUUUAAGCCUGCGGUGAAAUCGCGGGGGUAAACCCCGCCGAGCCGUGGGAACUGGGGGGAUUGAGUGGGGCGGAGGCAUGCGGAAUGCGCGGUGUAGCGGUGAAAUGCAUAGAUAUCGCGCAGAA
rnacentral:rRNA from 1 species